rnacentral:rRNA from 1 species
CCUACGGGUGGCAGCAGUGGGGGAUAUUGCACAAUGGGGGAAACCCUGAUGCAGCGACGCCGCGUGUAGGAAGACGGUCCUCUGGAUUGUAAACUACUGUCCCCAGGGACGAAGAUGACGGUACCUGGGGAGGAAGCUUCGGCUACCUACGUGCCAGAAGCCGAGGUACUACGUAGGGAGCGCGCGUUGUCCGGAAUUACUGGGUGUAAAGGGAGCGUAGGCGGGGAUGCAAGUUGGGUGUUAAAUCUACCGGCUAAACUGGUAGGCGCACUCAAAACUGCAGCUCUUGAGUGAAGUAGAGGCAGGCGGAAUUCCUAGUGUAGCGGUGAAAUGCGUAGAUAUUAGGAGGAACACCAGUGGCGAAGGCGGCCUGCUGGGCUUUUACUGACGCUGAGGCUCGAAAGUGUGGGGAGCAAACAGGAUUAGAUACCCUUGUAGUC